rnacentral:rRNA from 1 species
ACACAUGCAAGUCGAGGGGCAGCAUCAUCAAAGCUUGCUUUGAUGGAUGGCGACCGGCGCACGGGUGAGUAACACGUAUCCAACCUGCCGACAACACUGGGAUAGCCUUUCGAAAGAAAGAUUAAUACCGGAUGGCAUAGUUUUCCCGCAUGGGAUAAUUAUUAAAGAAUUUCGGUUGUCGAUGGGGAUGCGUUCCAUUAGGCAGUUGGCGGGGUAACGGCCCACCAAACCUACGAUGGAUAGGGGUUCUGAGAGGAAGGUCCCCCACAUUGGAACUGAGACACGGUCCAAACUCCUACGGGAGGCAGCAGUGAGGAAUAUUGGUCAAUGGACGAGAGUCUGAACCAGCCAAGUAGCGUGAAGGAUGACUGCCCUAUGGGUUGUAAACUUCUUUUAUACGGGAAUAAAGUGAGCCACGUGUGGCUUUUUGUAUGUACCGUAUGAAUAAGGAUCGGCUAACUCCGUGCCAGCAGCCGCGGUAAUACGGAGGAUUCGAGCGUUAUCCGGAUUUAUUGGGUUUAAAGGGAGCGUAGGCGGGUUGUUAAGUCAGUUGUGAAAGUUUGCGGCUCAACCGUAAAAUUGCAGUUGAUACUGGCGACCUUGAGUGCAACAGAGGUAGGCGGAAUUCGUGGUGUAGCGGUGAAAUGCUUAGAUACCACGAAGAACUCCGAUUGCGAAGGCAGCUUACUGGAUUGUAACUGACGCUGAUGCUCGAAAGUGUGGGUAUCAAACAGGAUUAGAUACCCUGGUAGUCCACACAGUAAACGAUGAAUACUCGCUGUUGGCGAUAUACAGUCAGCGGCCAAGCGAAAGCAUUAAGUAUUCCACCUGGGGAGUACGCCGGCA